AAUUUGUACAGUGGGUAUUAUAGUAUUCCAGGGUUAUUACACUAUGCGUUACAGUGAGUUAACUGUUCAUUAGUGUGACGGCGAGGGAGAAGAAGCUGUUUCUGUGUCUGGUGGUUUUGGUGUACAGUGGUUUGCCAUGCCCGUUUCCUGACUCUGGAGGUAUACUGGUCCUGGAUGGUGGGCAGUUAUAACCAUACUCACAUAUCCUUACUCCCGAUGCAAACUUUAUAACCAUACUCACAUAUGCCCUGCCCUGGUGUGCCGCCCGCGGGGACCUCAUGUCAUGUCCUCUGCGCCCCCAGAUUGACAAGAAGGCGAUGCACAAGGCAGGGAUGGUGCAGCGCGUCAUCAACGAGGUGGAGAUUCAGUGCCGGCUGAAGCAUCCCUCCAUCCUGGAGGUAAAGCUUGUGUGUGUGUGUGUGUGUGUGUGCCGUCUGAAGCAUGCCUCCAUCCUGGUGGUAAAGCUCGUUUCCACAUGACAUCUGGCACAGGGCAGGGACUCUUGGGGCGGAGGGAGGGUGUGUGCGUGUAUUUGUGUGUGUGUGUUUGCAUGCUUCUUAGGCAGGUAGCUCGCUAGGUUUAGGUUAGCUCGCUAGGUUAAGGUUAGCUCGCUAGGUUUAUGUUAGCUCGCUAGGUUUAGACCAAAACUCGAUAAUGGUUCAUACUUAUUUCACCUCAGACAAGAUUUGACCUUCACCCUAACAGCACAUGUUCGCUCUCUCUCUUUCUUCCUCACACACACACACACACACACACACACACACACAAACCACACAGGACAGAAAAAAGACCCAGGACACAGGAUGGUUGGAGUGUGUGUCAGACAGACAAGUCUGCUUGGUUUAAUUUCCAUCAUCAGACCUCACAUCUCACCCAUGGGGAUGCAGGAUACACCACGCAGCGCUCCCCGACUCUGUCAAGCAGCGCCAUGGCAACACGUCACCCCUGUCCAGGGGGGUAUUCCAAGCAUAGACAUAUAUAUCUAUAUAUAUAUAUAUCAUAUAUAUAUAUAUGUCUAUGAUUCCAAGUACGUGGUUAAGUGAAUAACAGGGGUAAGUAAGCGGUAAGCCUCGUAAAAGAAGAGCCCUUUGACUUUGUGUUGCUAGGCGACUGAAGCCAUAGGGCUCUUCUAUUAGGAGGUUUAUCACUUACUCUGAGUUAACUUACCCAGGUUUGUCACAAAGCCUCAUACAUGGCACACCCCCCCCCCCCCCGCCCCAGUUAGACUACUAAAAUCAUAUUUACACACUCUACACACAACACACUCUCCAAUGUCACACUUUAAAUAGAAAAUAUAUAUAUAGUAGAUGUGUGAGUGCACACACCCAGGCGAGGCGACUGACUCGCCCGAGCAGCCAGACUGGAGCCUUGGCCAAACCCUGUGGCCUUCUGGGAAGGGUUGCUCUGGGCAUGUGCAGUAAGACUCAGGGCUAGCCCCGCCCCGCCCCCUGCUCACACUCUUCAUUCAGGAGGACCAGCUUCAUGUUCGUUUCCUCUAGUUAGCUACAGUACUGCUACUGGCUACAGGGGUGGGAGGGGGUGGGGGGGGGCGGGCACGCAGCAGGUACACAUGGGGCAGGGCGGGGUGGGGGGGUCCGCUACAGGAAACCUGGGUGAAGAGGAGGAGAGGAUGAAGAGCAGCUGGAGAAGAGAUGCACAGACAGCCAUGAAGAAGACUCGAGCCAUUCACAGAGUUUCAGGUGUGUGUGUGUGUGUGUGUGUUUGAAGAGCGUCACGUGUGUGUCUGAGGGGUCAGAUCAGGUCUGUGUGUGUCUGUGUGUGUCUGUAUGUCUGAAGCCAGGUCAGUUGUGUGUCUGUGUGUGUGUAUGUCUGAACUCAGGUUGUGUGUGUGUGUGUCAGGUCUGUAUGUGUGUAUGUGUGUGUAAAGUGUGUGUGUAUGUCUGAACUCAGGUUGUGUGUGUGUGUGUCAGGUCUGUAUGUGUGUAUGUCUGAAGUCAGGUCAGGUUUCUGUCUGAGGUGUGCUGCAGUGUUUGUGUGUGUGUGUGUGUGAGGUGUACAGCAGUGUGUGUGUGGAGGCUGGCUGGUUGGUUGGUGGAGUGUUCGGGGGGGGGGUGGGGG
ensembl:lncRNA